CAAGGGUUUUUUCUCUUAUUGCAAAUAUUGCAUCUGAUCGCUAGAAAUGAUAUGAGUAGCAUUUUAUUAUUUUCGCGUUGGUCUUAAAGCACACAGAAAACUCCAAAUAAUCGGUUCGGUGGACAUUGUUCAAUUUGAAAUUUCUCAACAACAUUUUUUUUAAACACACAUCGUCUUGACUCGUAAUCAAAGCCACAUUUUUCGGUUUCAUUUAAAGACCCACAUUAGAAAACUUGAAUGUCAUUUUACCUGCCGACCUUGGACCACUAUCGGACCAGUAUCACCUAUCUAGAGAAAUUUAGGGCGCCCUAAACCAAACCCGGAACGUCAGUAUCAUCAGCGCAUUCGACCAAGCUACAGUCAAAACAAACAUUUCAGUAUACAAUCGUUUGUUGAUAGUGAAGAUUAUAGAGUGCAAGCAGACAUCAUCAUGAGCGAUUCUUCAGAGCAAACGAACACAAACAAUCAAGAAAAUAAGGAAGAUGUGACCGACAACGGUUCAAACACUAACCCGGAGGACGCCUCAGAGCAGCCGGCGCUAAACCGGAAGAAGCGGCACAUAUUUGAUGUUCCAGUCAGACCGAAUGUGGGACUGGAUGGAGAAGAAACAGAAGAAUUUAAUUAAAGAUCAAGUAUUUAUACUAAAUCUGUGUGUUCUACAUUAUAACUAUUAUAUUUUUUUAUUGCGUUAAUAAGCAUGUACGUGUGAAAGUAUUGUAUUUUACUAUAAACAUUUGUACAACUACAUAUAUAUGUAACUGUAAUUGUUAAUUGCCACAUGAAACUUGAAAUACAUGUUUUAAAAUAUUUGUUGUGGAGUAUAAUUUUUUAUUAUCAAAGAUUCAACGAACAGAACUAGACUUAUAAAUCACUACGCACUUCACUUGUGUUUCAGAUAUUGAUAAUUCUGUCUAAACUGAUUCAUAUUCCUCUUGACCGAUAAAUUUCAUUCUAUAGUUUCAUUCGAAAGGUUCUACUGCCUGUCCUUCCAAAUCUACGUUGGUUCUAUCAGGUACAUCAAAGGUUUGUCGUUUUCUCCUGCUUAAUUGAGUACGGUUUUCCUCUAAACCGGCCUCUGUCGGGUCAGUAUUGGCUUCAGAAAAUGCAGUUUCUUCACCGUUGUCACACAUCGUAAUAACCUUCCACCUGAGUUUUCGAUUUAACAGUUUUUUACCGACUAAAACCCCUUAUUACAAAGGUAAGAAUGCGUAGGAAUCUAGUCAGUAGGCUGCCAAACGUCGAAAAGGCCGGUCAUCAUGAGUGAUAAUUCUGAGACCUGUGACACGAAUGUACCGUCUAAUGAAGCCGAAGAUCAAAAAUCUUCUACCAAAAAGGUGCUAAUUCGGAAAAAGAGGCAAAUAUUUGAUGGACCGGAUAGACCCAACGCUGGAUUGGGAGGCAAUGAAGAAACAGAAUUUACGUAAACGUGUUUAUUUCUUGUACUAAUUGUAACCGCAGUGUAUGCACUAAUGCCACAAAUAAAUGGUUAAACGAU